rnacentral:rRNA from 1 species
UACGGAGGGUGCAAGCAUUGAUCGGAAUUACUGGGCGUAAAGGGCGCGUAGGCGGUUUGAUAAGUCAGAUGUGAAAUUCCGGGGCUCAACCCCGGAGCUGCAUUUGAAACUAUCGAACUAGAGUUCAGUUAGGGUAAACGGAAUUCCACGUGUAGCGGUGAAAUGCGUAGAUAUGUGGAAGAACACCGGUGGUGAAGACGGUUUACUGGGCUGAUACUGACGCUGAGGCGCGAAAGCAUGGGGAGCAAACAGG